UUUAUAUAUGCCUAUUUAGUUUUGUUUUAUUUUAUUAUUAGUUUAGCUUUUAUUAUUUAUUUUCUUUCAGUUUUAGUUUUAGUUGUUUUAGUACAUCAAGUAACUCAAUUAAAAUGAGAAAUGUUGCCUUGGCAACUAGCUGAAAUAGAAGGUUUUUAAUAUUUUAUUUUAUUUCGGUUAACAUUUAUUUUGUUUCAAGUAAUGAAAAUGUUUUUUAAGAGUUUUAAUUUUAGUUUCAGGUUUAUUUUUAUUUGACUAUAACAACUCCAGCUUAAUCAGUUAUCAAAGUUAUAAUAUAAUAUAAUAUUAGAAUAACGUUUGAAUAUUUUAGUGAGUUUUCAGAAUAUUUUGUUCAACUUUCUUAGAUUUUCAGCAUUAUAUUCAAAAGUCAGUUGACUAAACGGUAUAUAUAUAUAUACCGGAAUAUAUAAUUCCUAGGUUUGUUUACUAUUUAAUGAAAAGCAGCCAAUGAAAACCAUGCUUUAAUAAUUUUCAACAUUUUUACACAUUUUAGUUUUAAAUGGUGGUUUAAUGGUUGGGUUAAAUUCAAGAUUAUUACUGUUUUUUGUUUGUUUGUUUUUUUAAUCAGUGUACGUUGCACCAAAUAUCUAUGUAAAUCCUAUGCCUUUUUUGUAUGCAAAAGAUGGACUUUAUCUCCAUUUCUUUUGUAUUAUUUAUAGGAACAUUUUGUACAAUAGUGCUUAAAUGUAAUUGUGUUUAGAGGUCAUAUCUUUAAGAAUCAAAUUUGUAAUAAAGUUUCAGCCUGAUUUUUGACAAAGUCAUCUUAUCGUCAUUUUAAGUGAACUAUUCCAAAGUCUUUAAGCUGAUGUGCUGUGAUUAGACAGGACUGUGUGCAGCUACUGUUCAGCAACCCAAGGAAUAUCCUCCUCGCUUUACAGCUGGAGGGAUUAAAGGGGCUUCCUGUCCCAUGACUGACCUUAAAAGCCAAUCCAGAUGUCCUACAGCCCUCGAGACAAAGAACUCAGGUCUUGGAGAAAUAGAGGACGAAACUUGAAGACGAAGUUUAAGAUUUAUGAAAGAACACGAAGAAGAAGAAUGCUAACUUAAGUAGCGUCAUAAAAAUCAAAAUUCAUCUUAAGCUACAAGAAUAAAACUCGUCCUGCUAUUAUCUGAAAUGAACA
ensembl:lncRNA